rnacentral:rRNA from 1 species
AGUGAACGCUGGCGGUAGGCCUAACACAUGCAAGUCGAACGGCAGCACAGUAAGCGCUUGCUCUUACGGGUGGCGAGUGGCGGACGGGUGAGGAAUACAUCGGAAUCUACUUUUUCGUGGGGGAUAACGUAGGGAAACUUACGCUAAUACCGCAUACGACCUACGGGUGAAAGCAGGGGAUCUUCGGACCUUGCGCGAUUGAAUGAGCCGAUGUCGGAUUAGCUAGUUGGCGGGGUAAAGGCCCACCAAGGCGACGAUCCGUAGCUGGUCUGAGAGGAUGAUCAGCCACACUGGAACUGAGACACGGUCCAGACUCCUACGGGAGGCAGCAGUGGGGAAUAUUGGACAAUGGGCGCAAGCCUGAUCCAGCCAUACCGCGUGGGUGAAGAAGGCCUUCGGGUUGUAAAGCCCUUUUGUUGGGAAAGAAAAGCAGCAGGUUACGACCCCGCUGUUCUGACGGUACCCAAAGAAUAAGCACCGGCUAACUUCGU